rnacentral:rRNA from 1 species
AUUGAACGCUGGCGGCAGGCCUAACACAUGCAAGUCGAACGAGUGGCGGACGGGUGAGUAAUGUCUGGGAACCUGCCUGAUGGAGGGGGAUAACUACUGGAAACGGUAGCUAAUACCGCAUACCAUCAGAUGUGCCCAGAUGGGAUUAGCUAGUUGGUGGGGUAACGGCUCACCAAGGCGACGAUCCCUAGCGGGUCUGAGAGGAUGACCAGCAACACUGGAACUGAGACACGGUCCAGACUCCUACGGGAGGCAGCAGGGGGGAAUAUUGGACAAUGGGCGAAAGCCUGAUGAAGCCAGGCCGCGUGUAUGAAGAAGGCCUUCGGGUUGUAAAGUACUUUCAGCGGGGAGGCGUUACCCGCAGAAGAAGCACCGGCUAACUCCGUGCCAGCAGCCGCGGUAAUUC